GAAGAAGGUAAUCUUGGAAUUUUUCUUCCAAGAUUACAUUUUUAUGGAUUUGGGGUUCUACCCUUUUGUUCAAAGAUUAGAGCUUUAAGUUAAUUUUUAAGAAUUUGUUGUUCUUGGAGUGAAAAGGAAGAAGAAAAAAUUGAGGUAGAGGGAAUUUUUUUUGAAAAUUUUGGUGCUUUGGUGAGAUGGGUAUGUUGGAUCUUGAGGCAUAUGAGUUUGUUAGAUCUAAAAAUGUGAAAGAUCAUAUUUUGUUAUGUUCUGUUUGGCAAUGAGAUGUUACUGGUUAUUUGCCUUUCAUGUUGAUUGAGUGGACAUAUUGAAAAACUCAAAAAUUUGGGACUUUUCCAGGUUAUAGAUAUAUAAUUAUGUUAAGGUGGUUGUUUGUGGGAUUCUUGAUUUCUUUGUUCAUAAUAUCUGUUAUAGCUACUGAUAGUGAGUUCUCCAAUUGUAACUGUGAUGAAGAGGGUGUCUUUUGGAAUAUACAUACCAUUCUUGAUUGCCAAAAAGUGAGUGAUUUCUUGAUUGCAAUUGCUUAUUUUUC
rnacentral:misc_RNA from 1 species